UUAUGUGAUCGUCUCUCGCAUAUCAAUAAGCGGAGGAAAAGAAACUAACAAGGAUUCCCCUAGUAACGGCGAGUGAAGCGGGAAGAGCUCAAAUUUGAAAUCUUAAAGGGUUUCCCUUUACGAAUUGUAGUUUAAAGAAGUGUUUUCUGUUGAGGUUUUGGUAAAAGUUCUUUGGAAUAGGACAUCAUAGGAGGGUGAGAAUCCCGUAUUUGACCUUUACUUUCAACUUUGUGAUACACUUUCAAAGAGUCGGAUUGUUUGGGUAUGCAGUCCAAAAUGGGUGGUAAAUUUCAUCUAAAGCUAAAUAUUGGCGAGAGACCGAUAGCGAACAAGUACCGUGAGGGAAAGAUGAAAAGAACUUUGAAAAGAGAGUUAAACAGUUCGUGAAAUUGUCAAAAGGGAAGCGUUUGACACCAGUGUUGUUUUUCUGAAAAUCAAUUAAAGAACUGUUUAUGCUAAGCUGUUUAGACUUUAUCAGCUAACUGUUUAGUUUUGAGCUUUUCUUUAAUGCACUUUUCAGUUAACAAGUCAACAUCAAUUUCUUUUGCUGUAAAAAAGCUUGAGGAAGGUGGCUUGAGAUUCGUCUUAAGUGUUUAUAGCCUCUUGCCUAUGCAGUCGGAGAGAUUGAGGUCUGCAGCGUAGAUCCUUCGGGGCUAAAUGCAUUUGUGCUAAGUUAUAGCAUUUUAUAGACAACUUGUUGACUAUGAUUUGUCUUGUAGCUUACUCGCUUAUGUUAUUUUACCUACGCUUAGGAUGUUGACGCGCGUGUGUGCGUG
rnacentral:rRNA from 1 species